rnacentral:rRNA from 1 species
ACGUAGCUUGCUACCGGACCUAGCGGCGGACGGGUGAGUAAUGCUUAGGAAUCUGCCUAUUAGUGGGGGACAACAUCUCGAAAGGGAUGCUAAUACCGCAUACGUCCUACGGGAGAAAGCAGGGGAUCUUCGGACCUUGCGCUAAUAGAUGAGCCUAAGUCGGAUUAGCUAGUUGGUGGGGUAAAGGCCUACCAAGGCGACGAUCUGUAGCGGGUCUGAGAGGAUGAUCCGCCACACUGGGACUGAGACACGGCCCAGACUCCUACGGGAGGCAGCAGUGGGGAAUAUUGGACAAUGGGGGGAACCCUGAUCCAGCCAUGCCGCGUGUGUGAAGAAGGCCUUAUGGUUGUAAAGCACUUUAAGCGAGGAGGAGGCUACUUUAGUUAAUACCUAGAGAUAGUGGACGUUACUCGCAGAAUAAGCACCGGCUAACUCUGUGCCAGCAGCCGCGGUAAUACAGAGGGUGCGAGCGUUAAUCGGAUUUACUGGGCGUAAAGCGUGCGUAGGCGGCUUAUUAAGUCGGAUGUGAAAUCCCCGAGCUUAACUUGGGAAUUGCAUUCGAUACUGGUGAGCUAGAGUAUGGGAGAGGAUGGUAGAAUUCCAGGUGUAGCGGUGAAAUGCGUAGAGAUCUGGAGGAAUACCGAUGGCGAAGGCAGCCAUCUGGCCUAAUACUGACGCUGAGGUACGAAAGCAUGGGGAGCAAACAGGAUUAGAUACCCUGGUAGUCCAUGCCGUAAACGAUGUCUACUAGCCGUUGGGGCCUUUGAGGCUUUAGUGGCGCAGCUAACGCGAUAAGUAGACCGCCUGGGGAGUACGGUCGCAAGACUAAAACUCAAAUGAAUUGACGGGGGCCCGCACAAGCGGUGGAGCAUGUGUUUUAAUUCGAUGCAACGCGAAGAACCUUACCUGGCCUUGACA